UGGGGAAUUUUGGACAAUGGGGGGAACCCUGAUCCAGCCAUGCCGCGUGUGUGAAGAAGGCCUUAUGGUUGUAAAGCACUUUAAGCGAGGAGGAGGCUCUCUUGGUUAAUACCCAAGAAGAGUGGACGUUACUCGCAGAAUAAGCACCGGCUAACUCUGUGCCAGCAGCCGCGGUAAUACAGAGGGUGCGAGCGUUAAUCGGAUUUACUGGGCGUAAAGCGUGCGUAGGCGGCUUUUUAAGUCGGAUGUGAAAUCCCCGAGCUUAACUUGGGAAUUGCAUUCGAUACUGAGAAGCUAGAGUAUGGGAGAGGAUGGUAGAAUUCCAGGUGUAGCGGUGAAAUGCGUAGAGAUCUGGAGGAAUACCGAUGGCGAAGGCAGCCAUCUGGCCUAAUACUGACGCUGAUGUACGAAAGCAUGGGGAGCAAACAGG
rnacentral:rRNA from 1 species